rnacentral:lncRNA from 7 species
CCCGGGGCUCCGAGCGCCGCCUCAGCUUCUGCGAGUGGGUGGCCGGGGGGGGCGCCGGGGCGGGGAGUCCUCUCCCACCCCUCCCCUCACUUCCUCCCGCCCCCGCUUUACGUUCUGACCCCCAGGGUCCUCUGUCUGUCCCCCUCCCUCCCGAUCCCUCCUCGCUCCCCCGCUCUCAUCCCUUCUGUCUCCUUUCCCGCCCCCCCCACAGCUCUCCCCACGUUGGCCCCUCCAUCCGUCUCCCCCUCUGACUCCCUCUGUCUGCCCCCCGGGGUCCCCCGUCUUCCCUCUUCCUUCUCCCUCCCCCCUGCUGACCCCAUGUGCUGACCCCUGGAGUCCCCUGUACCCCCCAUGCCCUCCUCCCUGACCUCUGGAGUCCGCUCCCCCAUUUUGACCCCCAGUAUCCCCCAACGGGACCCCCUUUAUGUCCCAUAGAAACCCCCCCUGCGACCCCCAGCUCUCCCCUCCCUCCACCCCACAGAAGCCCCACUCACACAUUCUCCCCCCCCCAAGAUUCCACACAACCCCCUCUCCACCCCCAGACUCCCUUUCCACCCCACAGAAGCCCCACUAACCCCUUUCCCCCCCCCUUCAGCCCACCUUUUCCCCACUUAGAAUCGUGCCGAGGGAUCUGGAGACGUCCUAGAGAGGUUUGGGGGCAUCCAGGGGGUUCUGGACUCAUGCAGAAGAGUCUGGAGAUGUCCAAGGAGGAUCCAGGGAGUCCCCAGGCCUGCCUGCAGCCGGACCCGGUGACACCGGAGCCCUCCCUCUGGCGCUGUCACCAUCCUCUGUCCCGAGGACGGGAGGUGAACUCUGUGCCACCAGCAGAGGGGACCACGGGUGACAUCAGUGUGGAACAGCCGUGACGCGGCGGCGUUGUCAUUGGGUGUCACCGUCACGCAGAGGGGCCAAAAGGACCCCCCUGGGGGCAUUGCGUCGAAGUUGGGGACACCGUGAGCAGCUUGAGGACUUCCCAGGGGAAGUGGGGGCACCGCGUCACCGUGUCACACCCCAAAGUUGGGGAUGCCCCCACAGUGUCACACCUCAAAGUUGGGGACACCCCCACAGUGUCACACCGCAAAGUUGUGAACAGCUCUGUGUCCCCCCAAUGGUGUCAGACCCCAAAGUUGGGACACCCCAAAGUUGGGGUCUGUCCCAGAGGUGGGAGUGCCCCCACAUCCCCACCAUGGCGUCACAUCCCAAAGUUGGGGACCCCCAUCUGGGGACCCAUUCUGUGCGCCCCCCAUUGCAGACAGCACUGUUCCCAUGGGGUGGGGGUGGGGGGCACCCUUUAUUUUUGGGAUUAAGGUUUAUUUUGUGAUAACGGGGCGUUGGGGGAUGCCCCCCCUACGUGAAUAAAGGGCAGAGGAGCGGCUGUGGGGCUCCGUGUGUCACACCAGGGGGUGCUUUGGGGACACUGCAGCAUCCCAGCCCCAUAGCCCCCAUGGCCCUAUAACCACUACAGCCCCAUCUCGUAGCCAUCCCAUAUCCAUAUCCCAUCCCAUAUCCCAUCCUGUAUCCAUAACCCUUCCAAUAUCCAAACCACCAUAUCCGACCCACACCCAUAUCCCAAAUCAAUCCCGUAUCCAUAUCCCAAAUCCAUCCCGUAUCCAUAGCCCAUCCCAUGUCCAAAUCCCCGUAUCCCAUCCCAUAUCUCAUCCCCUAU